GACAGAGGUGGCAAGCGUUGUUCGGAAUUACUGGGCUUAAAGGGCGCGUAGGCGGUAGUGCAAGUCCGUGGUGUAAUCCCAGGGCUCAACCCUGGAACUGCCUCGGAAACUGCAUUACUUGAGUCAGUGAGGGGAGGGCGGAAUUCCCGGUGUAGCAGUGAAAUGCGUAGAUAUCGGGUGGAAGGCCGGUGGCGAAGGCGGCCCCCUGGCGCUUGACUGACGCUGAGGCGCGAAAGCGUGGGGAGCAAACAGGAUUAGAUACCCUGGUAGUCCACGCCCUAAACGGUGGGUAUUAGGUGUUGGGCUCGCGAGAGUUCAGUGCCGCAGGGAAACCAUUAAAUACCCCGCCUGGGGAGUACGGCCGCAAGGUUGAAACUUAAAGGAAUUGACGG
rnacentral:rRNA from 1 species